AUGUUGUCCCCAUCGAGGGAGUAGCAGGGGAUGGCGUGGGCGACGAGGUACUCCUCCAGGGCGAAGCUUAUCGUCGUUUUUCCGGCACCAGACAGACCUGUUCAGAACAGGAAAGAAAGUCAGAAGAUCUGGUCACUGGUGGGGGAGUCUCCCUCCAGCAUGCGCAGGAGGAGGAGGAGGAGGAGGAGUUUUGGAGUCAAGCAAACCUGAUUUGAAACCUGCUUCUCCACCUACUUGCACCCCUCGGAAGUCAUUAACAUUGCUGAAUCUUCAUUUCCUGCUCUGUAAGGUGAGGCCAUGAAUAGUUUCCUCACAGGGUUGCUAAAAAGAUUAAAUAGAAUGAUUUUCUAUAUAAUGUAAUAAAAGAAAAUGUGCACACAUGAUAAAAUAUUGAAUCUGAUCAAACCUAGCAUUUAAUCUAGUCUGGAGAAAUUAUGGAACUUGUCUAAAUCACCUAGAUUUACAAGUGUCCUAGGGGUCUGGGUCCACUG